rnacentral:lncRNA from 1 species
ACCAUGUUGUCCAAGCUGGUCUCGAACUCCAGACCUCAGAAAGGUGUGCACUUCUAAACAAAAUGGAGGCUCAUGAGCAAAACAUGCGGAGCUGCCCUGGCAAUGAAGUGAAGAGACUUGUAACUUGGUGCCUGAGCCUGUGCUAAAUGAGGGAGGGAACGGAAGGAGUUCAUUUGGAAUCAGAAGACUAAGUGAUAUGUUGUCGGAGGGACUUUGGAAUCCAGUUUAAUGGAAAAAGGAGGCCCCUGAGUCUUCAGCGUCACAAACAAUGACUGUUCCUGGACUUGUGUGACCACACAUCCCAGGCACUUAAAAUUGGGAAAUUUGGGGGAAGCAAGAUGGCCAAAUAGAACAAUCCAGCAAUUCUUCCCAUGCAGUAAUACCAAAUUUAACAACUAUCCCCACAAGAAAGCAUCUUCAUAAGAUACAAAAAUCAGCUCAUGAAGAGAGAAUCUGUAUGCUUGGGUGAGGGAGAGAGACAUGAUUGUGGGAACUGGUAUUGAAACUCAGUCCUGCCCUGUCACAGUGGAACACAGCACAGGGCAGAAUUUGUCCAGUGACCAUGGAAGAAGCAUUUAAACCAGUCCCAGCCAGAGGGUACUCCUCCACUCCAGUGGCAAGAACCCGAGUUCUGCCUAGCCCCACCACCAGAAACUAAAGUGCCAUGGAGUCCUGAAUAAAUAUUAAAGGCAGUCCACAAGGACUGCAGAACUUUGGCAAGUCCUUGUGCUGCACUGGGCUCAGAGCCAGUGGACUUGGGGUGAAUGUGACCCAGUGAGACACCAGAUGGGGUGGCCAACGGAGUUCCUGUAUCACCCCUCCUCCAACCCCAGGAAGUGCAGCUCAGGGAAAGACUCCUUCUGCCUGAGGAUAGUAGAGUAAAGAGUAAAAGAGUAAAGAGGACUUUGUCUUGCAACUUGGAUGCAAGCUUAGCCACAAUAAAUAAGGCAGCAAGCACCUGAAGCCUCUGAUUCCAGGCCCUAGCUCCUUGAUGGAAUUUCUAGACACACCCUGGGACAGAAGGGAAUCCACUGCCCUAAAGAGAAAGAUCCAGUCUUGGUAGUAUUCACCACUUUCUGACUAAAGAGCCCUUAGACCUGGAAUAAACAUCAGCAGUAGCCAGGCAGUAGUCAUCACAGGCCUUAGGAAAGACUCAGUACCAUACUGGCUUCAGGAAUGACCUGGCACAGUCCCAGCUGUGGUGGACACAGGAUUGCUUGCAUCACCCUUCACCAACUCCAGUUCAACAUGGCAAGACUCCAUUUGUUUGGGGGAAACUGAGGGAUGAGGACAAGAGACUCUGCCUGGUAAUCAAGAAAGUUUCUCCAGACUUUAUCCAAGCCCACCAAGGUGAUACUUAUAUGAUUCUGCAAGAGUUGCAACAUUACUGGGCUUGGAGUGCCCACUAGUGCAGAUACAGCUGUAGUGACCAAAAACUUAGAUCACAACACUCAAUUCCUUUUGAAUACCUGGAAUGCUUCUCAAGGAGGAUGGUACAAAUAAGCCCAGACUGCAAAGAUAAGAAUAAGUACCAAACUCUUCAAAGCCCAGACAUUCUGAACAUCCACAAGCAUCAAGACCAUCCAGGACAACAUGACCUCAUCAACUGAACUAAAAUAAGGUACCAGGGACCAAUCCCAGAAGGACAGGCAUAUGUAACAUUUCAGAACAGAGGAUUCAAAAUA